AGAGCGUAUGGUGGAUGCCUUGGCACUAAGAGCCGAUGAAAGACGUGAUAAGCUGCGAAAAGCUUCGGGGAGGAGCAAAUAUCCAUUGAUCCGGAGAUAUCUGAAUGGGGAAACCUACUUGAGAAAACCUCAAGUAUCCACAGCCCAAUCCAUAAGCUGUGGAAGGGAACCCGGUGAACUGAAACAUCUAAGUAGCCGGAGGAAGAGAAAACAACAUGUGAUUCCGUAAGUAGCGGCGAGCGAACGCGGAAGAGCCCAAACCGGAGUGCGUGCACUCCGGGGUUCGGACUGCAGGAUUGACGAGUGAGCCUAGUAGAAUGGUUUUGGGAAAGCCAGCCAGAGAGGGUGAAAGCCCCGUACACGAAAGGCAAGCGAGCAUGGCAGGAUCCAGAGUACCACGAGACACGUGAAACCUUGUGGGAAUGAGCGGGGACCACCCCGUAAGGCUAAAUACUCCUUAGUGACCGAUAGCGCAUAGUACUGUGAAGGAAAGGUGAAAAGGACCCCGGGAGGGGAGUGAAAGAGAACCUGAAACCAUAUGUUUACAAGCUGUGGAACAUCUUUAUAUGAUGAACCGCGUACUUUUUGUAGAACGGUCCGGCGAGUUACGCUGGCUGGCGAGGUUAAGGGCUGAAGGCCUGGAGCCGAAGGGAAACCGAGUCUGAACAGGGCGAAAUAGUCAGUCGGAGUAGACCCGAAACCGGGUGAUCUAUCCAUGUCCAGGUUGAAGUUGCCGUAAAAGGCAAUGGAGGACCGAACCCACAUCCGUUGAAAAGGGUGGGGAUGAGGUGUGGAUAGGGGAGAAAUUCCAAUCGAACCCGGAGAUAGCUGGUUCUCCUCGAAAUAGCUUUAGGGCUAGCCUCAUGCAAGUCUUACGGAGGUAGAGCACUGAAUUCCUAAGGGGGCGUCAAAGCUUACCAAGGGAUAUCAAACUCCGAAUGCCGUGUAGAUGGUGCAUGGGAGUCAGACUAUCCGAGAUAAGUUGGGUAGUCAAAAGGGAAAGAGCCCAGACCUACAGCUAAGGUCCCAAAAUGUGUGUUAAGUGGAAAAGGAUGUGGGAUUUCGAAGACAACUAGGAUGUUGGCUUAGAAGCAGCCAUCCAUUAAAAGAGUGCGUAAUAGCUCACUAGUCGAGAGGUCCUGCGCCGAAAAUGUCCGGGGCUGAAACACACUACCGAAGCUUAGGAAUUGACGAAUGUUAAUUGGUAGAGGAGCAUUCUUAACGGGGCGAAGCUGUACCGGAAGGAGCAGUGGACUGUUAAGAAGAGAGAAUGCCGGAAUGAGUAGCGAGAGGAAGGUGAGAAUCCUUCCGGCCGAAUAUCUAAGGUUUCCAGAGUAAAGCUGAUCUGCUCUGGGUAAGUCGGGGCCUAAGGCGAGGUCGAAAGACGUAGUCGAUGGAUAACAGGUAAAGAUUCCUGUACUAUAUCAUAACAGAACUGUGGGGACGCAGACAGAGAGCAUAAGCCGGGAAUGGAAAGACCGGUACAAGCGAGGUAGGAGUGCAUCAGGCAAAUCCGGUGCACAAUCUGAAGACGUGAUGUGGGGCGUAAAGCCGGAAGUAUGUGAGCUGGCUGCCAAGAAAAGCCGCUAUUGUUUAUGAUAUACCCGUACCGUAAACCGACACAGGUGGAUGAGGAGAGAAUCCUAAGGCCGACGGGAGAAGCAUUGUUAAGGAACUCGGCAAAAUGACUCCGUAACUUCGGGAGAAGGAGUGCCAUGUAAAAGUGGCCGCAGAGAAUUGGCCCAAGCAACUGUUUAGCAAAAACACAGGUCUAUGCAAAACCGAAAGGUGAGGUAUAUGGGCUGACGCCUGCCCGGUGCUGGAAGGUUAAGGGGAGAGGUUAGUCGUAAGGCGAAGCUUUGAACUUAAGCCCCAGUAAACGGCGGCCGUAACUAUAACGGUCCUAAGGUAGCGAAAUUCCUUGUCGGGUAAGUUCCGACCCGCACGAAAGGCGUAAUGAUUUGGGCACUGUCUCAACAAUGCACCCGGUGAAAUUGAAAUACCAGUGAAGAUGCUGGUUACCUGCGCCAGGACGGAAAGACCCCAUGGAGCUUUACUCCAGCUUGAUACUGGGAUUCGAUAUUGCAUGUACAGGAUAGGUGGGAGACUGAGAACUGAUGACGCCAGUUGUCAGGGAGUCACUGUUGGGAUACCACCCUUGUAGUAUUGGAUUUCUAACCAGCAGCCGUGAACCGGCUGGGGGACAAUGUCAGGUGGGGAGUUUGACUGGGGCGGUCGCCUCCGAAAGGGUAUCGGAGGCGCUCAAAGGUUCCCUCAGAAUGGUUGGAAACCAUUCGAAGAGUGCAAAGGCAGAAGGGAGCUUGACUGCGACACCGACGGGUGGAGCAGGUACGAAAGUAGGACUUAGUGAUCCGGUGGUAUAAAGUGGGAUUGCCAUCGCUCAACGGAUAAAAGCUACCCUGGGGAUAACAGGCUUAUCACUCCCAAGAGUUCACAUCGACGGAGUGGUUUGGCACCUCGAUGUCGGCUCAUCGCAUCCUGGGGCUGAAGUAGGUCCCAAGGGUUGGGCUGUUCGCCCAUUAAAGCGGUACGCGAGCUGGGUUCAGAACGUCGUGAGACAGUUCGGUCCCUAUCCGGCGUGGGCGUAGGAUAUUUGAGAGGAGCUGCCCUUAGUACGAGAGGACCGGGGUGGACUGGCCGCUGGUGGAUCUGUUGUAUUACCAAAUGCAUAGCAGAGUAGCCAAGCCGGGACGGGAUAAACGCUGAAGGCAUCUAAGCGUGAAGCCCCCCUCAAGAUGAGAUAUCCCAUAACGUCAAGUUAGUAAGACCCCUUGA
rnacentral:rRNA from 1 species